rnacentral:rRNA from 1 species
GACGAACGCUGGCGGCGUGCUUAACACAUGCAAGUCGAACGGAAAGGCCUGCUUUCCCUUGUGGAUUGCGGGUACUCGAGUGGCGAACGGGUGAGUAACACGUGAGUGAUCUGCCCCCAACUUGGGUAUAAGCCUGGGAAACUGGGUCUAAUUCCCGAUAGGACUGCAGGGUGGUGCCUGUGGUGGAAAACGAUUUUCUAGUGGUUGGGGAUGAGCUCGCGGCCUAUCAGCUUGUUGGUGGGGUAAUGGCCUACCAAGGCGGCGACGGGUAGCCGGCCUGAGAGGGUGGACGGCCACAUUGGGACUGAGAUACGGCCCAGACUCCUACGGGAGGCAGCAGUGGGGAAUAUUGCGCAAUGGGCGGAAGCCUGAUGCAGCGACGCCGCGUGGGGGAUGACGGCCUUCGGGCUGUAAACUCCUUUCGACCGCGAGGAAGCCACCUGGUUGGAAGGGUGGUGACGGUAGUGGUAGAAGAAGCACCGGCUAACUACGUG